UUUGGCUAUGAUUCUGAUGCCAGAAGUACUUGUAUAAUUCUAAUUAUACCACCCAUAUAUUUUGCACAAUACUGAGAUGAAAGCAACUGUUGUAUUUCACAAGGCGAGACUGGAGAAUGACUCCCAGACCCCUUGACGAAAGGCGAUCAAGCAAGCGCAUGCAGCUUGGAUACCUUCAAACCUUUUUGGUUGGCUUCUACUUUUCUGGGAAAACCUUUCUGGUGAAUGUGAAUGUUGGCCCACACAGGCCCCGUUCCAAGAGACAGAAAAUGUUGAAAGAGGGUUGCACUGCUGUACAAAUUGUCCAUGUAUAGUACUACAUUGCCAUCUCUCAGGUGUGCAGAGCAAGUAAGGUACAAGGCACAAAGCAACCCAUCCCUGCUGAACAUCAACUAAACCGUUGAGCACCUAAUUCCUUGGUGUACCAGCAGUGGCUAAAAGCCCAUCUCCCAUCCCACAUCUUCACCACAUUGCAUAGAGGGACUAUAGAGAGCAUCCCGAGGAGCUGCAUCACGGCCUGGUUUGGGAACUGCACCGCUUCGAACCGCAAUUCUGCAGAGGAUAGUCAGGACAGCCAAGAAGAUAGUCGGGGUCUCUCUUCCCUCCCUCACAAACAUAGUUGGAGUUUGCCGCUAUCUUGAUCUUUAUUCAAAGUUUGUUCUCUUAAACUUUCAAAUAUCCACCUGCCUCACCAUCAGUCCAUGCCUGCCACAUUUCAGCACUUACAAUGACUUGACCCAGAGAAAUAGAAUAAAGAAAAUGGAAAUUAGGCAAGGAUAAACAUUGAUUCACUCACCCAUCUGCUAUCUUUCAGAAAACUUCCCAGAAAGACCUGAAAUCCAGGUGGAAGGUCUUUCUGUUAUUGCCCAGAUGGGACUUCCAACAGGUAAAGAUAACAAUAAAUGGUUUAUUCCACUAGUUCAACCUUACACUCCCCUCCCUCUGCUGGACUACCUCUAACUCUAAUUUCCUCCAUCUCACCCACAUUCAAUAAACAGACAGCGCCUGUUGCCCUCCCUCAAACCCAGAAAACAACCAUCACCAUUAAGAUUUAUUAUGGUUCAGAUACACAGAUAAUUAAACUACACCAGAUCUGUUUCCUAUGUUUGUAAGUGAGGGGAAUAUAUCUGUC